AACAAGUACAGUGAGGGAAAGUUGCAAAGAACUUUGAAGAGAGAGUUCAAAAGGAUGUGAAAUCGUUUGUAGGUAAACGAAUGGAACCACGAAGCGUAGCUAAGAGAAGAAUUCAACAUUUUUAUCUGUUAAGUAAGUCAUUUUAUGAUUUAGCGGCUUAAACUUUUAGAUUUAAUUUUUUCAAAAAAAUAAUUUAAAAGUAUUUAAGUAACAUAAAAUGAUUUUUUUCAAUCUACUUAAUAUAUAAAAUGUGCAUUUUCUUAACUCUUGUGCUCAAGCCUUGACCAAUAGAUUUUCUUAAAUUUUUAGUGUUUUUAUCAAACACUAAAGGCAAUAGAAAUAAUAGUUGAUAUUACCGUAUCACUAUUAGUAAUGGAUAAAAAGAUACCUUUACGUUAAAAUUUUUUUUAACGGUUUUUUGGUUAAAUUUUAUCUCAUUGUUAAACUAUUGUCGCAAGCUUAUUUUUUUCUAUUGGAAUAAUGAUAAGUUUUAGAGAUAAAAUUCCUGUUUAUUUUUUUUAUACGCAGGGUAAAUGUAAUACAUGUUGAAAUAUUUUUUCUUGAAAUAUUCAAAAUUGAUAACUUUUUGAUUUUUCCGUUUUUCGGUUAAAUUUUUUAAAGAAAAGUUUCAUAUUUUGUUAUAUUUAUCUAUAAAUCAAGGAAAAGUCCAACAAUUGUGUUACUAAAGUUUUUACUCUAAAAGGUAAAAAUUAUCAUCUAAGGCUAGUAGGUCGGUAAUCCAUUCGUCCCGUCUUGAAACACGGACCAAGGAG
rnacentral:rRNA from 1 species